GAGGACAGAUAUUCCCUGGGCUUCAGGAAGAACGUGAAGGAAGUUUUCGGAGAUCAAAAGCUGUGUUGGCUGUUACCUGUUUUUACAAGUCCGGGAGAUGGCUGCUCUUUUCCAACUCGCGUUGUUUCAGGGGACCCUGAACAAAACGCUGGCAUAAACCAGAGCGACAUCGCCAAACCUUGAGGCUUUUUCUGCCAGAUCUCCCCGUGAGUCCCAGAACCUCGUGUCGGGAAGUGAGGCUGGAUGAACUAGGACGGAAAGGUAAGGUUUCUUUCUUUCUUUGGGAUACACAGAUAGAUCUAAAUAAAUCAUUUUUUCCAAAGGGCUCCUUAUUGCACAGGGGACAUUGUCCAAAAUAAGUUUCUUAAAAACAAACCCCUAUAUCAUUUAGCCGUACCACUACCAGCCUCUUCCAAAUUUUAAAUUUCCUUUCGAACUGCAUUCCCAAACUGUCACACGCGGGACUCCCGAACACACAGCGCCAG